UACGGAGGAUGCAAGCGUUAUCCGGAUUCAUUGGGUUUAAAGGGUGCGCAGGCGGAGAUAUAAGUCAGUGGUGAAAAACUGCCGCUCAACGGUAGUCUUGCCAUUGAUACUGUUUCUCUUGAGUAUGGAUGAGGUAGGCGGAAUGUGCAGUGUAGCGGUGAAAUGCAUAGAUAUUGCACGGAACACCAAUUGCGAAGGCAGCUUACUGGGCCAUUACUGACGCUCAGGCACGAAAGCGUGGGGAU
rnacentral:rRNA from 1 species